UACGGAGGGUGCAAGCGUUAUCCGGAUUCACUGGGUUUAAAGGGUGCGUAGGCGGGCAGGUAAGUCAGUGGUGAAAUCUCCGGGCUUAACCCGGAACUGCCGUUGAUACUAUCUGUCUUGAAUAUUGUGGAGGUAAGCGGAAUAUGUCAUGUAGCGGUGAAAUGCUUAGAUAUGACAUAGAACACCAAUUGCAAAGGCAGCUUACUACACAGUUAUUGACGCUGAGGCACGAAAGCGUGGGGAUCAAACAGG
rnacentral:rRNA from 1 species